UGGGGAAUAUUGGACAAUGGGCGAAAGCCUGAUCCAGCCAUGCCGCGUGUGUGAAGAAGGUCUUCGGAUUGUAAAGCACUUUAAGUUGGGAGGAAGGGCAUUAACCUAAUACGUUAGUGUUUUGACGUUACCGACAGAAUAAGCACCGGCUAACUCUGUGCCAGCAGCCGCGGUAAUACAGAGGGUGCAAGCGUUAAUCGGAAUUAUUGGGCGUAAAGCGAGCGUAGGUGGUUUGUAAAGUUGGAUGUGAAAUCCCCGGGCUCAACCUGGGAACUGCAUUCAAAACUGACUGACUAGAGUAUGGUAGAGGGUGGUGGAAUUUCCUGUGUAGCGGUGAAAUGCGUAGAUAUAGGAAGGAACACCAGUGGCGAAGGCGACCACCUGGACUAAUACUGACACUGAGGUGCGAAAGCGUGGGGAGCAAACA
rnacentral:rRNA from 1 species